rnacentral:rRNA from 1 species
AAAGGAAUAGACGGGAGCCCGCACAAGCAGUGGAGUAUGUGGUUUAAUUCGACGCAACGCGAAGAACCUUACCAGGACUUGACAUCCGGAGAAGCCGCCGUAAAAGGUGGCGUGCCUUUCGGGGAACUCCGAGACAGGUGGUGCAUGGUUGUCGUCAGCUCGUGUCGUGAGAUGUUGGGUUAAGUCCCGCAACGAGCGCAACCCUUACGGUCAGUUGCUACAUUAAGUUGAGAACUCUGGCCGGACUGCCGUUGACAAAACGGAGGAAGGUGGGGAUGACGUCAAAUCAUCAUGCCCCUUACGUUCUGGGCUACACACGUACUACAAUGGCGAAAACAAAGGGAAGCGAAGCCGCGAGGCGGAGCAAACCCCAUAAAAGUCGCCCCAGUUCGGACUGCAGGCUGCAACCCGCCUGCACGAAGUCGGAAUUGCUAGUAAUCGCGGAUCAGCAUGCCGCGGUGAAUACGUUCCCGGGCUUUGUACACACCGCCCGU